rnacentral:rRNA from 1 species
UACGGGGGGGGCAAGCGUUGUUCGGAAUCACUGGGCAUAAAGCGCACGUAGGCGGUGUCGUAAGUCGGAUGUGAAAUCCCUCGGCCUAACCGAGGAACUGCGUCCGAUACUGCGAUGCUUGAGGGCCAGAGGGGUGCAUGGAAUUUCCGGUGGAGCGGUGAAAUGCGUUGAUAUCGGAAGGAACUCCGGCGGCGAAAGCGAUGCACUGGCUGGUUUCUGACGCUGAGGUGCGAAAGCCAGGGGAGCAAACGGG